rnacentral:rRNA from 1 species
AUUGAACGCUGGCGGCAUGCCUUACACAUGCAAGUCGAACGGCAGCACGGGGCAACCUGGUGGCGAGUGGCGAACGGGUGAGUAAUGCAUCGGAACGUACCUUUCAGUGGGGGAUAAAGUAGCGAAAGUUACGCUAAUACCGCAUAUUCUGUGAGCAGGAAAGCAGGGGAGCGCAAGACCUUGCGCUGAUUGAGCGGCCGAUGUCAGAUUAGCUAGUUGGUGAGGUAAAGGCUCACCAAGGCGACGAUCUGUAGCGGGUCUGAGAGGAUGAUCCGCCACACUGGAACUGAGACACGGUCCAGACUCCUACGGGAGGCAGCAGUGGGGAAUUUUGGACAAUGGGGGCAACCCUGAUCCAGCCAUGCCGCGUGAGUGAAGAAGGCCUUCGGGUUGUAAAGCUCUUUCGGCCGGGAAGAAAUCGCACGGGCUAAUACCCUGUGUGGAUGACGGUACCGGAAUAAGAAGCACCGGCUAACUACGUGCCAGCAGCCGCCGUAAUAC